GAUGAAGAACGCAGUGAAAUGCGAUAAGUAAUGUGAAUUGCAGAAUUCAGUGAAUCAUCGAAUCUUUGAACGCACAUUGCGCCCGCCAGUAUUCUGGCGGGCAUGCCUGUUCGAGCGUCAUUUCAACCAUCAAGCCCCCGGGCUUGUGUUGGGGACCUGCGGCUGCCGCAGGCCCUGAAAAGCAGUGGCGGGCUCGCUGUCACACCGAGCGUAGUAGAUUUUAUCUCGCUCUGGGCGUGCUGCGGGUUCCGGCCGUUAAACCACCCUUUUAACCCAAGGUUGACCUCGGAUCAGGUAGGAAGACCCGCUGAACUUAAGCAUAUCAAUAAGCGGAGGA
rnacentral:misc_RNA from 1 species